GCUGGGCAUGGUGGUGCAUGCCUGUAAUCCCAGCUACUUGGGAGGCUGAGGCAGGAGAAUCGCUUGAACCCAGGAGGCAGAGGUUGCAGUGAGCCAAGAUCGCCCGUUGUACUCCAGCCUGGGCAACAAGAGUGAAACUCUGUCUCAAAAUAAAAUAAAAUAAAAUAGGCCAGGCGCGGUGGCUCACGCCUGUAAUCCCAGCACUUUGGGAGGCUAAGGCGGGCGGAUCACAACGUCAGGAGAUUGAGACCAUCCUAGCUAACACAGUGAAACCCCAUCUCU
rnacentral:sRNA from 1 species